GAAACACUGAUAUGCUCCAACAAUUCAGUUACUUCUCAACAGAGAUUUAAUAACAGAGCCAUGAGUUCUCUGGUAUUAUCUGCAGCCACCUGAUAAUUUCUCUUCUGACCCACAGGUCAAGACUGGUAUCAAGUUUCUAUUCAGAUUGGCAUGCUCACCAGAAUCCACGCUACUAUACAAGGAGCACUCAUCCAACUGUAUGUGCAGCAGAGCUACUUCUUGAAGGGAUUCUGGCCAGCCAAGGUGAUGAACAUAGCUGCUUUCAGGGCUUCUCCUCAGCCACCUGUCCAACAGGGUCCUUGUUAACACUAAAAGUAACAAAAUGAAAUAUUAGAUGAUGCUGACACUAGGCUUCAUAAACAGCCUCAAGAAGCGUGUUAUGGUAGACCAACCUUCAACAGCUUAAGUAAUGAUCACACUUGUGGGCUAAACAAGUUAUCCCUCCAGUUUAAGUACAUCUAUUAAAGUUUGUUAAAAUACAAACAAAUCUUGUUCUUCACUGUAGCUGCCAUUUCUUUUCCUCAGAGGUGCAUACUAAUUCCUUUGUUGAAUAGACAGCUCCUUCUUCCUUUCUCCCAAGCAAGGGAUAAAGAGGAUUCUCUUCCUUUAUCAGUUCUGGGUUUAUUAGUGGUUCUUUAAUACAAACUGUAUCAGCUCUGGAUAGCUAGUAUGAAUACAGCCUGUUGAGCAGGCUUGCAUGUUUACAGGCUAAGCAAUAUACUUUCAGUAGAAUUCAGCUGAGAAUGAAGUUUGCAAUCAUUCUUUGUGCUAUUUUCUAUUGUUGAUCAAAUAAGCGCAUAUAUAAUUGGUAAUAAUCAGAAUUCUUUAAUUAUUUCACAUUAGUAUGUAGCCUAAAGACUUACAAAGAAGUUACUGUGCCUAAGACUACAAGAACUUAAAGAGCAAAACACCAGCAAAGCUUAACAUUUCAAUCAUCAUAUUCAUUCAACUCCUUGUGAACAAUUUCUGUUGGCAAUCCUGGAUGUUACCUGUUUUUUUUCCAGUCUUGUACUUUAUCCAGGAAAAUUCUCCAUGAAUUCAAUGGAUAUUUGACAAUUAAAACAGAAAAUAAAACUUUUGGAUUAAGUCAUAGCUCUGUAUAAAUACUAGUAAACUAAAUCUAUCUUGUUAUUCUGUUCUGGAUUAAUGGCUGUUGCUAUACUAUACGGCAGCUUGGUGCUCUAGUUUAACCCUGCAUUUACAGACAUUUUUGCUAACCAAAAAGUGAACACUAAUUACAUACUAAGUCUAAAAGCAAGUUUUACUUAUGGAAUACCAUAAAUGGCUUUAUCAAAUUCUAGUCUCUUUGCAUUGAUGGUACAUGAAAUGCAAACAGGCAUGUAAUUGCAUGCCUGUAGACUGUAUUUCUAUAUUUUCUUAGUCUGUGGAACGGUAAUACUGGAUACUAGUAAGAGUAGAGGCUGGCAUAAUGGGACCUUCUGCUUUUUAUAACAUCUAAUGGUAUGGCAUUAAAAACACUUGAGUGGUGCAGCUGAACUCUCACAAGAUAGACUUAGUGGAUUUUAGUAACUAAUGUCAAUCUAUAGCAAUAGAAGGCAUGGCCCCAGUACUUGCAAAUAGAUACAAAUUAUUUAACAGUAAUCUCAAGGAGAAAUUUAAAUAAUCAGAAAAAAAACAUGGUAUUGUUCUUCUAAAUCUAUAGUAAGGUUUUUAAGUAAUGUUUUCAUUUAUGUAAGUCUAGAAUGUCUGUAUUGGUGUUGUCUUGUCUUGUCUCAGUCGUUAACUCUUAAGACAGAGUUUACACAAUCACUACACAUAAAGGAGAAGACUUUUGUGUUUUCCAGUACUUGCAGGAAUUUGAAAUUCUGAGGUCUCAUUACUGUUGUAUUUGACUCAUGUGUUCCUGUGAACAGGGCAGGUGAGAAGAAUACAGCUCAUCAGUGGUGUUACAAGCUGGAAUUUUGAGCUUGCCAAGGCCCUACAUUAAAGACUGGAUGUAAUUGGUUACUUCAGGUAGUGAUAAAUUUAGAAUCAAGGCAGGGGAAAAAGAUCAUCUUAACUUAGAUUAACUUGAAAGAGAAAAAAUACCCCAUCACUGUCGAUGGAAGGCAUAUUCUAUCAAAACUGCAGUCACACUCUGUUCUAUUGAGAUUAACUUUACCUGCUGAACGUUGUUAAAUUUAUUCCAGUGGCCUAUGACCACCAUAUAUCAGCAUCCGACCCCUAUCUAUAUAAAACAAUAAGCAUAAGCUUAAGGCUGUCUUAAAGGCUGUCUGAGAGAUGUAUAUUUACUGACAUAUAACCUGACUAAAGCCAAACAUCAUUACCCCCGUGACUGAUUGGAGGGCAGCCGUAACUUAACAGUUUUAUUUCUAUUCUACAGCUGAUCUCCUUGACCAUGUGUUCUAUUAUUCAAAACAAAACAAAAUCAAAAACUACAAAACAACAGGAGUGGGGGGAGAAGAACAAAAGCCACCUCUUCAUUUAGCCUUUCUAUCUUGAUCACUACUCAUGGGCUAUCAAUAAUUUCAACUUGGUUAAGCAGCUGGCUGAAGGUUAAAUAAAUCCUGACUGGUUGUUUGCAUGAUCAUAACUGAAUACAAUAGUUUUAAUUGGAAGGAGAUUUCUUUUUGGCUACAACUUGGGAGUACUUAUAGAGUCAAAAUCAGGCUAGAAAAUAAAUUAUUUUAGUGGAGAAGAUGAUUCAGGUAAUUCCUUACAGGUUUUCAAGACAAAGCUGGAUGAAGCCCAGAGUAACCUGGUCUGAUCUCACAAGUGAUCCUAUUUUGAUCAAAGGACUAUACUACAGACCUCCAGAGGGUCAUUCCUGCCUGAGUUAUCCUAUGAUCAUCUGACUCAAUGAUUAUUCAGACAGAAAUCAUAAGCCUGUUAAGUUUUCCUAUUCUAAUCCACAUUAUUUGCACCUGUUAGGCUGAUGACAGAAUCUGACUUCUUAGGCAACAAAUUCCAGGACUAGAAUUUAUCCACUGGUAGGUUUCAUUCCACUGAAGGACAGAUUAAGGUGGAUUUGUAACAUCUUUGUUUAUCCAAAAAAAUUAAAAGAUUUCGAAAGCAUUUGAAAGUGGAUUUAGGAGAAGCCCAUUAUAUGAACAGGAGCAGAUCUCAUCCAGAAUGUCACAUAAAUAUCAUGCUAUCAAACAAGAAAUGUAAAUUAUCAUACGUACUCUAUAAUUGAAAAGUGUAUUACACAUUAGUGAAGUCACCCAUUUAUCUCAUCAUAAUCAGUUCCAAUAAAAUCUCAUUUAGGAAAGUUGAGAGUAGUUCAGGGUG
ensembl:lncRNA